AUUGAACGCUGGCGGCCGGCCUAACACAUGCAAGUCGAACGAGUGGCGGACGGGUGAGUAAUGUCUGGGAAACUGCCUGAUGGAGGGGGAUAACUACUGGAAACGGUAGCUAAUACCGCAUACCAUCGGAUGUGCCCAGAUGGGAUUAGCUAGUAGGUGGGGUAACGGCUCACCUAGGCGACGAUCCCUAGCUGGUCUGAGAGGAUGACCAGUCACACUGGAACUGAGACACGGUCCAGACCCGUACGGGAGGAAGCAGGGGGGAAUAUUGGACAAUGGGCGGAAGCGUGAUCCAGCCAAGACGCGUAUGUGAAGAAGGUCUUCGGAUUGAAAAGCACUUUAAGUUGGGAGGCGUUACCAACAGAAUAAGCACCGGCUAACUUCGUGCCAGCAGCCGCGGUAAUA
rnacentral:rRNA from 1 species